rnacentral:sRNA from 2 species
UAAGGUUCGAUUCGAGCGCAGCGAGAACGCGUUGCCGCAGGCAACGACCCGAAGGGCGAAGCGCGCAGCGCUGAGUCAUCCUUCCCCCACCACCA